UGGGGAAUUUUGGACAAUGGGGGAAACCCUGAUCCAGCCAUCCCGCGUGUGCGAUGAAGGCCUUCGGGUUGUAAAGCACUUUUGGCAGGAAAGAAACGUCGUGGGUUAAUACCCCGCGAAACUGACGGUACCUGCAGAAUAAGCACCGGCUAACUACGUGCCAGCAGCCGCGGUAAUACGUAGGGUGCAAGCGUUAAUCGGAAUUACUGGGCGUAAAGCGUGCGCAGGCGGUUCGGAAAGAAAGAUGUGAAAUCCCAGAGCUUAACUUUGGAACUGCAUUUUUAACUACCGGGCUAGAGUGUGUCAGAGGGAGGUGGAAUUCCGCGUGUAGCAGUGAAAUGCGUAGAUAUGCGGAGGAACACCGAUGGCGAAGGCAGCCUCCUGGGAUAACACUGACGCUCAUGCACGAAAGCGUGGGGAGCAAACAGGAUUAGAUACCCUGGUAGUCCACGCCCUAAACGAUGUCAACUAGCUGUUGGGGUCUUCGGACCUUGGUAGCGCAGCUAACGCGUGAAGUUGACCGCCUGGGGAGUACGGUCGCAAGAUUAAAACUCAAAGGAAUUGGACUGGGGUCGAUAGCUGUUUCCU
rnacentral:rRNA from 1 species